UCUUUAAGAUUGAUUCUUAUAGAACUUACACUAUUUUGAAAAUACGGAUCUGAACAUGUUUCACCUAUACUUUUAAGAUAGUUUUUUAAAAGAACUUCCUUAUAUUUGGACGUAUCUUCUGACAUCUAAAUUUUGUUUUUAAAAUACCAGAUCCAUCUCUAUCUACAGACCCCUAAGACAUUAGGAUCUGUUGCUUCAAAGAUGUUUGUUUUUAAAGGUAAAUACUGAUUCUAAGGCCCUUGAAAAUGACAUUGAAGGAGGGGUUUAGGCACAUUCUCAAAGGGAGAGUGGAAGAGAGAGGGAAAGACAGAGAGAAACGUCAAUGUGAGAAAAACACAUCAACUGGUUGCUGCCUGCAUGCACUGUGACCUGGGCCUAGGCCAGGGAGAAGCCUACAACCGAGGUACUGCCCUCGACCAGAAUUGAACCCGGAACUCUUUAGUCCACAGGCCUACACUCUAUCCACUGAGCCAAACAGGCUAGAGCCUCACAUGAUUCUUUAUAAUCAUUAACAUACUGUGUCUUCAUGAAAUGGGUUAUUGAUUUAUUUUACUCGAGAAAUCACUGUGAGAAAAAGGCAGCCUGAAUACUUGCAAGGUGAUAUUUCUGUCACAUUAAACCCUUAUUUUCCCAGCAAUAAAUAUUUCUCCAAUUAAA